rnacentral:rRNA from 1 species
UACGUAGGGUGCGAGCGUUUAAUCGGAAUUACUGGGCGUAAAGCGUGCGCAGGCGGUUCGUUAAGUUCGUUGUGAAAGCCCCGGGCUCAACCUGGGAACUGCAAUGGAAACUGGCGGGCUUGAGUGCGGCAGAGGGGGGUGGAAUUCCGCGUGUAGCAGUGAAAUGCGUAGAGAUGCGGAGGAACACCGAUGGCGAAGGCAGCCCCCUGGGCCGACACUGACGCUCAGGCACGAAAGCGUGGGGAGCAAACAGG